UACGUAGGGGGCAAGCGUUGUCCGGAUUUAUUGGGCGUAAAGAGCGUGUAGGCGGUCAGGUAGGUCCGUUGUGAAAACUCGAGGCUCAACCUCGAGACGCCGAUGGAAACCAUCUGACUAGAGUCCGGAAGAGGAGAGUGGAAUUCCUGGUGUAAGCGGUGAAAUGCGCAGAUAUCAGGAAGAACACCCGUGGCUAAGGCGGCUCUCUAGUACGGUACUGGACGCUGAGACGCGAAAGCGUGGGGAGCGAACAGG
rnacentral:rRNA from 1 species